GAUGAAGAACGUAGUAAAAUGCGAUAAGUAAUGUGAAUUGCAGAAUUCAGUGAAUCAUCGAAUCUUUGAACGCACAUUGCGCCCGCUAGUAUUCUGGCGGGCAUGCCUGUCCGAGCGUCAUUUCAACCCUCAAGCCCCCGGGCUUGGUGUUGGGGAUCGGCGAGCCUCCGCGCCCGCCGUCCCCUAAAUCUAGUGGCGGUCUCGCUGUAGCUUCCUCUGCGUAGUAGCACACCUCGCACUGGGAAACAGCGCGGCCACGCCGUUAAACCCCCAACUUCUGAACGUUUGACCUCGGAUCAGGUAGGAAUACCCGCUGAACUUAAGCAUAUCAAUAAGCGGAGGA
rnacentral:misc_RNA from 1 species